GGAGUUAAGAAAUGUAAAGGUGUUAAUAGCGCCUUUAUUUGACGAAGGCUCCAGAGGAAGCCACGGCUAACUCUGUGCCAGCAGCCGCGGUAAUACAGAGGUGGCAAGCGUUGUUCGGAAUUAUUGGGCGUAAAGAGCACGUAGGCGGUCCUGCAAGUCUGUUGUGAAAUCCUUCCGCUUAACGGGAGAACGGCAGCUGAUACCACAGGACUAGAGUACGGGAGGGGAGAGUGGAACUUCUG
rnacentral:rRNA from 1 species